UACGUAGGGGGCAAGCGUUGUCCGGAAUCAUUGGGCGUAAAGAGCGUGUAGGCGGUCCGGUCAGUCGGUUGUGAAAGUCAAGGGCUCAACCCUUGAAUGCCGGCCGAUACUGCCGGGCUAGAGUCCGGAAGAGGUGAGUGGAAUUCCUGGUGUAGCGGUGAAAUGCGCAGAUAUCAGGAGGAACACCAAUGGCGAAGGCAGCUCGCUGGGACGGUACUGACGCUGAGACGCGAAAGCGUGGGGAGCAAACAGG
rnacentral:rRNA from 1 species